GACACUAUGGCCGAGUGGUUAAGGCGACAGAUUCGAAUUUGAUGACAUCUGUUUCCCUCUGGGAGCGCAGGUUCAAGUCCUGCUGGUGUCG